UUAUAGGUUUUUAUCGCUAAAUUUCCCAACUCAUCGGCCAAAAUAUUGGGGUACUGAUGAUGGUACUGACACCAGUCGCGAGUCGCGCGAGUCCUACCCUGUUGGAUCACCAUCUUGGAUUUCAGAUUUCAUGUUUGUUUAUGACUUUAAUGAGUUUAUGUUCUCGCGUUCUCGGUGUCGGUUCUCGUUUUCAUAUUAUUAUAAGAAGAGGGAUGUAAAAAAUGUUUUAUUACGAUUGACCGAUUUUGAAUUUUGUAUAUUUUCAAUAAUAUAUUGAUUAAGUUUAUAUGUUAGCUAUGGAUAUGGAAUUUAAAGCUGAAAUUAAGGAAGAGUUGGUUGAGUACAACCAAACAGAUAUGGAGAGCCAGCUAUCCACAUCCAUAGAUCUGGAAACCUUCAAAAAUGAACUAAUGGAAGAUAACUCCCCUGAAAUGGGACUAAAAGCUGAAAUAAAAGAAGAGUUGGCAGAGGAGGAUCACCUAUUUACAUCUCCAGAUCUUGAAGACUCGGUUAAUAAAGCAGAUGAAGAUAACUCAGGAUUCCUUAAGAACGGAAUGGAAAUCAUGAAAACUGAACUUGCAUGCGCUACAGAACAACAAAUAAUAAGUGCAAACACUGAAGAAACAACAUCAAAAAAUUCUAUUUGUAAAUGUAAAAUUUGUUUUAAGCAAUUUAACAAAGCAGGUUCUUUGGAACGUCAUAUAAAGACGCACACUGCAGAAAAGCUUUACAAGUGUGAAAUUUGUUUAAAGCAGUUUAGUCAAGCAAAUAGUUUGAAAGCACAUUUGAGAGUACACAGUGGAGAAAAGCCUCACAAGUGUGAAAUUUGCUUUAAGCAGUUCACUGAUAAAAGCAAUUUCCAUAUAUGAAAGUUCACACUGGAGAAAAGCCUUACAAGUGUGAAAUUUGUUUUAAGCAGUUUUCUCACAAAGUUAAUUUAAAUAGACAUUUAAGAUUGCACACUGGAGAAACGCCUUAUAAGUGCGAAAUUUGUUUAAAACAAUUUAGUCAAGCAAAUAGUUUGAAAGCACAUUUGAGAGUACACACUGGAGAAAAGCCUCACAAGUGUGAAAUUUGUUUUAAGCAGUUUAGUCAUGCACACUCUUUGAAAUAUCAUUUGAGAUGGCACACUGGCGAUAAACCUGAUAAGUGUGAUAUUUGUUUUAAGCAGUUUACUAGACCAUACCAUUUGAAACGUCAUUUGAGAGUGCACACUGGGAAAACUGGCUUACAAGUGUGAAAUUUGUGGAUUUCCUCAGAAAGGAAUGGAAUUCAUGAAAACUGAACUGGCAUGCACUACAGAACAACAAAUAGAUGCAAACACUGAAGAAUCAACAUCAAAA
rnacentral:misc_RNA from 1 species